UGGGGAAUAUUGGACAAUGGGCGAAAGCCUGAUCCAGCCAUGCCGCGUGUGUGAAGAAGGUCUUCGGAUUGUAAAGCACUUUAAGUUGGGAGGAAGGGCAGUAAGCGAAUACCUUGCUGUUUUGACGUUACCGACAGAAUAAGCACCGGCUAACUCUGUGCCAGCAGCCGCGGUAAUACAGAGGGUGCAAGCGUUAAUCGGAAUUACUUGGCGUAAAGCGCGCGUAGGUGGUUCGUUAAGUUGAAUGUGAAAGCCCCGGGCUCAACCUUGGAACUGCAUCCAAAAAAGGCGAGCUAGAGUAGGGCAGAAGGGGGUGGAAUUUCCUGGGUAGCGGUGGAAUGCGUAGGUAUAAGGAGGAACAACAGUGGCGGAGGGGAACACCUAGGGUCAUAAUGACAAUGAGGGGCGGAAGGGUUGGGAGCAAACAGG
rnacentral:rRNA from 1 species